rnacentral:rRNA from 1 species
CCUACGGGAGGCAGCAGUAAGGAAUAUUGGUCAAUGGACGCAAGUCUGAACCAGCUAUGCCGCGUGGAGGAUGAAGGUCCUCUGGAUUGUAAACUUCUUUUAUCUGGGAAGAAAUGGUUCUUUUCUAAGGAUCUUGACGGUACCAGAUGAAUAAGCACCGGCUAACUCCGUGCCAGCAGCCGCGGUAAUACGGAGGGUGCAAGCGUUAUCCGGAUUCACUGGGUUUAAAGGGUGCGUAGGCGGAAAAGUAAGUCCGUGGUGAAAUCUCCGAGCUUAACUCGGAAACUGCCGUGGAUACUAUUUUUCUUGAAUGUUGUGGAGGUUUGCGGAAUAUGUCAUGUAGCGGUGAAAUGCUUAGAUAUGACAUAGAACACCGAUUGCGAAGGCAGCAGGCUACACAAAUAUUGACGCUGAGGCACGAAAGCGUGGGGAUCAAACAGGAUUAGAUACCCUGGUAGUCCACGCCCUAAACGAUGAUUACUCGACAUUUGCGAUAUACAGUAAGUGUCUGAGCGAAAGCAUUAAGUAAUCCACCUGGGAAGUACGACCGCAAGGUUGAAACUCAAAGGAAUUGACGG